UACGAAGGGGGCUAGCGUUGUCCGGAAUCAUUGGGCGUAAAGCGCGCGUAGGCGGCCUCAUAAGUCCGCUGUGAAAGUCAAAGGCUCAACCUUUGAAAGCCGGUGGAUACUGUGAGGCUAGAGUACGGAAGAGGCGAGUGGAAUUCCUGGUGUAGCAGUGAAAUGCGUAGAUAUCAGGAGGAACACCGAUGGCGAAGGCAGGUCUCUGGGCUGACACUGACGCUCAUGCACGAAAGCGUGGGGAGCAAACAGG
rnacentral:rRNA from 1 species